rnacentral:rRNA from 1 species
UACAGAGGGUGCAAGCGUUAAUCGGAAUUACUGGGCGUAAAGCGUGCGUAGACGGUUGCGUAAGUCAGAUGUGAAAGCCCCGGGCUCAACCUGGGAAUUGCAUUUGAGACUGCGUAGCUAGGGUGCGGAAGAGGGAAGCGGAAUUUCCGGUGUAGCGGUGAAAUGCGUAGAUAUCGGAAGGAACACCAGUGGCGAAAGCGGCUUCUUGGUCCAGCACCGACGUUCAGGCACGAAAGCGUGGGGAGCAAUCCGG